rnacentral:rRNA from 1 species
GAUGAACGCUGGCGGCGUGCCUAAUACAUGCAAGUCGAGCGAACGGACGAGAAGCUUGCUUCUCUGAUGUUAGCGGCGGACGGGUGAGUAACACGUGGAUAACCUACCUAUAAGACUGGGAUAACUUCGGGAAACCGGAGCUAAUACCGGAUAAUAUUUUGAACCGCAUGGUUCAAAAGUGAAAGACGGUCUUGCUGUCACUUAUAGAUGGAUCCGCGCUGCAUUAGCUAGUUGGUAAGGUAACGGCUUACCAAGGCAACGAUGCAUAGCCGACCUGAGAGGGUGAUCGGCCACGCUGGAACUGAGACACGGUCCAGACUCCUACGGGAGGCAGCAGUAGGGAAUCUUCCGCAAUGGGCGAAAGCCUGACGGAGCAACGCCGCGUGAGUGAUGAAGGUCUUCGGAUCGUAAAACUCUGUUAUUAGGGAAGAACAUAUGUGUAAGUAACUGUGCACAUCUUGACGGUACCUAAUCAGAAAGCCACGGCUAACUACGUG